GCCCGGGUGGUGGAAUGGUAGACACAGGGGACUUAAAAUCCCCCGGUCAUUGCGACCGUGCCGGUUCGAGUCCGGCUCCGGGUA
rnacentral:tRNA from 1 species